UUCGGUAGCACUCAAAUAUCGUAGAAAUUCGAGAGGAAAAAACAACAAACAAAAUAUUUUUAUCUCGCAGACCUAUGCCAGGGUUCACUUACAUUCGAUUUGUGGCAAAACAUCCGAGCUAAACUAUUUUCCCUGGCCACUAGCCGUAUUUAAAACGAGAAAGUAGCCACAAGCAUCCUUGACCGACGCCGUUGGACGAGUAGCUCGGAAUUCGGCCAAUCUGAGAGGGGACGAGUGAAGAGUUUUUUGUGGAAUGUUGUAAAUAAAAUUUCCUUAAAACUUAGAACAUGCCUUAAUUUUAUUGACAACAUUUCACAAAAACGCUUUACUCGUCCCCUUUCAGAACAGCCAAAUUCCGAGCUACGAACAAGCAAGCAAGCAAUAAGGUCGGAGUUUGUGUUCCUAGUUCUUUCCCUGUUUUACAUGCUCGUGAAAUGCACCAGCGCCCGUUCUGGCGAUGUAUCUCUUUCUAAAAGAGAUGCCACAAGUGAGUCGUUGCGUCGAAUCGAGACUCCACUCGCUGUACUGGAAAAGAAAAUUGAUUCUUGCAAUCGUGGUGGAUCAGAACCCGUCUGCCUGAACGUACCCAGGAACUGUCUGCAAGUCUUGAAAUGUGGCGGAAAGGCCAGUAGAGUGUAUAUAAUUGACGCGGACGGCGACUGAAACUUCCCACCAUUCAAGGUACGGCGGGCGAUUCCCUGAGCGUUUCUAGUGUCAUGUCUUUCAACACAAAAGACAGAGAUAAUGACCUGUAUGGCGAUAGCUGUGCUGCGGUAUACAAAGGUGCUUGGUGUGGUAUAGGAUCUGCCACUUGGCUAACUGGCAUGUACCAUCAUGGCCACCACGCAUCCUUUGCCGACGGGAUAAAAUGGGUUACAUGGAAGGACUAAAACUACUCUGCUAAGAGUGCUGAUAUGAAGAUGAAGCCACAGGCCUCAGCUCUGUCGCCUUCAGCAAAGUAUCCACGAACAGUAUUAUCACGUGAAUAUUUUUUAAGUUAAUUCCUUCACGUUAUACUUCUGCACCUAUUAACCUACUGCAAAAAAUCAUAUUUUCACCUAUUCGAACAAUGACACGCAAACUUGUGCCUGACCCUUAGAAUAAAAAAAAAUUAAUUCCUAAGUAACUAGAGGAUUAUGAUUAUUACUUAAAAUAAAAAGCAUUUAGUGCAA